rnacentral:rRNA from 1 species
GUCCACGCCCUAAACGAUGUCAACUAGGUGUUGGGGAGGAGACUUCCUUAGUACCGCAGCUAACGCGUGAAGUUGACCGCCUGUGGAGUACUGCCGCAAGGUUGAAACUACAAAGGAAUUGACGGGGACCCCGCACAAGCGGUGGAUUAUGUGGAUUAAUUCGAUGCAACGCGAAAACCUUAACCUACCCUUGACAUGCCGAGAAUCCCGAAGAGAUUUGGGAGUGCCCGAAAGGGAACUUGGACACAGGUGCUGCAUGGCUGUCGU